ACCCACUCAGGUCCCAUUUCUAAGGAGUAGAGGGCCAGAUGCUGUGAAAGUAAUGAGGCACAGAUUGGUAUGUUGUCCUGAAUCUUGAGGAGUUGAGUUGCAAAGCCCUCCACUUCUGAUGGAUAUGCUAUAUAUCCAACUCGCCAUCCCAUCAUCCCAUAGGCUUUUGAGAAGGAAAAGAUGUUGACAACAUGAUCGCCUUCUAUGCAGGAAUGUUUUAGACCAUC
rnacentral:misc_RNA from 1 species